UAGAUAACGUUGGGGUGUGCCUGACCAUA
rnacentral:piRNA from 1 species